AUUGAACGCUGGCGGCAGGCCUAACACAUGCAAGUCGAGCGGUUGAGGUAGCUUGCUACCGAUGCAGCGGCGAACGGGUGAGUAAUACAUGGGAAUCUGCCUGGUAGUGGGGGACAACGUUUCGAAAGGAACGCUAAUACCGCAUACGCCCUACGGGGGAACGGGGGGGAUCUUCGGACCUCUCGCUAUCAGAUGAGCCCAUGUCAGAUUAGCUUGUUGGUGAGGUAAAGGCUCACCAAGGCGACGAUCUGUAACUGGUCUGAGAGGAUGAUCAGUCACACUGGAACUGAGACACGGUCCAGACUCCUACGGGAGGCAGCAGUGGGGAAUAUUGGACAAUGGGGGCAACCCUGAUCCAGCCAUGCCGCGUGUGUGAAGAAGGCCUUAGGGUUGUAAAGCACUUUCAGUGGGGAGAAAGGUGAUUCACCUAAUACGUGAGUCAAUUGAUGCUACCCACAGAAGAAGCACCGGCUAACUCCGUGCCAGCCGCCGCCGUAAGAC
rnacentral:rRNA from 1 species